rnacentral:rRNA from 1 species
GAUGAACGCUGGCGGCGUGCCUAAUACAUGCAAGUCGAGCGAACGGACGAGAAGCUUGCUUCUCUGAUGUUAGCGGCGGACGGGUGAGUAACACGUGGAUAACCUACCUAUAAGACUGGGAUAACUUCGGGAAACCGGAGCUAAUACCGGAUAAUAUUUUGAACCGCAUGGUUCAAAAGUGAAAGACGGUCUUGCUGUCACUUAUAGAUGGAUCCGCGCUGCAUUAGCUAGUUGGUAAGGUAACGGCUUACCAAGGCAACGAUGCAUAGCCGACCUGAGAGGGUGAGCGGCCACAGGGAAACGGAGACGGGGCACAGACUCAAGGGGGGGGCAGGAGGGGGGAAUCGCCCAAAGGGGGAAAACGUGUGAAGGAAAAACGCCGGGAGGGAGAAGAGGGUCUGGAGAGUGAAAAUCUUUGUUAUUGGAAAAAAACAUAGGUAAAAAAAACUGCGCACAUGGAGGGGGUACAUAAACAGAAACCAGCGGAAAACAAC